GAAAUGCGAUAAGUAAUGUGAAUUGCAGAAUUCAUUGAAUCAUCGAAUCUUUGAACGCACAUUGCGCCCCCUGGUAUUCCGGGGGGCAUGCCUGUUCGAGCGUCAUUUCACCACUCAAGCCUCGCUUGUAUUGGGCAACGCGGUCCGCCGCGUGCCUCAAAUCGACCGGCUGGGUCUUCUGUCCCCUAAGCGUUGUGGAAACUAUUCGCUAAAGGGUGUUCGGGAGGCUACGCCGUAAAACAACCCCAUUUCUAAGGUUGACCUCGGAUCAGGUAGGGAUACCCGCUGAACUUAAGC
rnacentral:misc_RNA from 1 species